UCAAUAAGCGGAGGAAAAGAAACCAACAGGGAUUGCCCUAGUAACGGCGAGUGAAGCGGCAACAGCUCAAAUUUGAAAUCUGGCUCUUUCAGAGUCCGAGUUGUAAUUUGCAGAGGGCGCUUUGGCGUUGGCAGCGGUCCAAGUUCCUUGGAACAGGACGUCACAGAGGGUGAGAAUCCCGUACGUGGUCGCUGGCCUUCGCCGUGUAAAGCCCCUUCGACGAGUCGAGUUGUUUGGGAAUGCAGCUCUAAAUGGGAGGUAAAUUUCUUCUAAAGCUAAAUACUGGCCAGAGACCGAUAGCGCACAAGUAGAGUGAUCGAAAGAUGAAAAGCACUUUGGAAAGAGAGUCAAAUAGCACGUGAAAUUGUUGAAAGGGAAGCGCUUGCAGCCAGACUUGCCUGUAGUUGCUCAUCCGGGCUUUUGCCCGGUGCACUCUUCUAUAGGCAGGCCAGCAUCAGUUUGGGCGGUUGGAUAAAGGUCUCUGUCAUGUACCUCUCUUCGGGGAGGCCUUAUAGGGGAGACGACAUGCAACCAGCCUGGACUGAGGUCCGCGCAUUUGCUAGGAUGCUGGCGUAAUGGCUGUAAGCGGCCCGUCUUGAAACACGGACCAAGGAGUCUAACAUCUAUGCGAGUGUUUGGGUGUCAAGCCCGAACGCGUAAUGAAAGUGAACGGAGGUGGGAACCCUUACGGGCGCACCAUCGACCGAUCCUGAUGUCUUCGGAAGGAUUUGAGUAAGAGCAUGGCUGUUGGGACCCGAAAGAUGGUGAACUAUGCUUGAAUAGGGUGAAGCCAGAGGAAACUCUGGUGGAGGCUCGCAGCGGUUCUGACGUGCAAAUCGAUCGUCAAAUUUGGGCAUAGGGGCGAAAGACUAAUCGAACUAUCUAGUAGCU
rnacentral:rRNA from 1 species